rnacentral:tRNA from 1 species
UAAUAUAUUAUCUUUAUAUUUACAAGAAUAUUAUUAUUUAAUAUAUUAUCUUUAUAUUUACA